rnacentral:rRNA from 1 species
UACACUCCUGCGGGAGGCAGCAGUGGGGAAUUUUGGACAAUGGGCGAAAGCCUGAUCCAGCCAUGCCGCGUGCAGGAUGAAGGCCUUCGGGUUGUAAACUGCUUUUGUACGGAACGAAACGGCCUUUUCUAAUAAAGAGGGCUAAUGACGGUACCGUUAGAAUAAGCACCGGCUAACUACGUGCCAGCAGCCGCGGUAAUACGUAGGGUGCAAGCGUUAAUCGGAAUUACUGGGCGUAAAGCGUGCGCAGGCGGUUAUGUAAGACAGUUGUGAAAUCCCCGGGCUCAACCUGGGAACUGCAUCUGUGACUGCAUAGCUAGAGUACGGUAGAGGGGGAUGGAAUUCCGCGUGUAGCAGUGAAAUGCGUAGAUAUGCGGAGGAACACCGAUGGCGAAGGCAAUCCCCUGGACCUGUACUGACGCUCAUGCACGAAAGCGUGGGGAGCAAACAGGAUUAGAUACCCCAGUAGUCCCAUGA